GCGAGGAUGGCGGAACAGGCAGACGCGCUGGAUUUAGGAUCCAGUGGGGUAACCCGUGGGGGUUCAACUCCCCCUCCUCGCA
rnacentral:tRNA from 4 species